GACGAACGCUGGCGGCGUGCUUAACACAUGCAAGUCGAACGGAAAGGCCCUGCUUUUGUGGGGUGCUCGAGUGGCGAACGGGUGAGUAACACGUGAGUAACCUGCCCUUUACUUUGGGAUAACUUCAGGAAACUGAGGCUAAUACCGGAUAGAAUCUCCUACUGCAUGGUGGGGGUUGGAAAGUUUCGGCGGUUGGGGAUGGACUCGCGGCUUAUCAGCUUGUUGGUGGGGUAGUGGCUUACCAAGGCUUUGACGGGUAGCCGGCCUGAGAGGGUGACCGGCCACAUUGGGACUGCGAUACGGCCCAGACUCCUACGGGAGGCAGCAGUGGGGAAUAUGGCACAAUGGGCGGAAGCCUGAUGCAGCAACGCCGCGUGCGGGAUGACGGCCUUCGGGUUGUAAACCGCUUUCGCCUGUGACGAAGCGUGAGUGGCGGUAAUGGGUAAAGAAGCACCGGCUAACUACGUG
rnacentral:rRNA from 1 species